UACAGAGGGGGCAAGCGUUAUUCGGAAUUAUUGGGCGUAAAGGGCGCGUAGGCGGCCUGACAAGUGGAAGGUGAAAUCCCUCGGCUUAACCGAGGAACUGCCCUCCAAACUGUUUGGCUUGAGUCCGGGAGAGAUGAGUGGAAUUCCCAGUGUAGCGGUGAAAUGCGUAGAUAUUGGGAGGAACACCAGUGGCGAAGGCGGCUCACUGGACCGGAACUGACGCUGAUGCGCGAAAGCGUGGGGAGCAAACGGG
rnacentral:rRNA from 1 species